UACGUAGGGGCCAAGCGUUGUCCGGAUUUAUUGGGCGUAAAGAGCUCGUAGGCGGUUGGGUAAGUCGGGUGUGAAAACUCCAGGCUCAACUUGGAGAUGCCACCCGAUACUGCUCUGACUUGAGUUCGGUAGGGGAGUGGGGAAUUCCUGGUGUAGCGGUGAAAUGCGCAGAUAUCAGGAGGAACACCAAUGGCGAAGGCAGCACUCUGGGGACGGUACUGACGCUGAGACGCGAAAGCGUGGGGAGCAAACAGG
rnacentral:rRNA from 1 species